AGGGUUUGAUCAUGGCUCAGAAUGAACGCUGGCGGCACGCUUAACACAUGCAAGUCGAACGAGAUCUUCGGAUCUAGUGGCAGACGGGUGAGUAACGCGUGGGAACCUGCCCAGUAGUAGAGAAUAACUUGGGGAAACUUAAGCUAAUACUUUAUACGUCCUUCGGGAGAAAGCUUUAUGCGCUAUUGGAUGGGCCCGCGUUAGAUUAGUUUGUUGGUGAGGUAACGGCUCACCAAGGCGACGAUCUAUAGCUGGUCUGAGAGGAUGAUCAGCCACACUGGGACUGAGACACGGCCCAGACUCCUACGGGAGGCAGCAGUGGGGAAUAUUGGACAAUGGGGGCAACCCUGAUCCAGCGAUGCCGCGUGAGUGAUGAAGGCCCUAGGGUUGUAAAGCUCUUUCGUCGGGGAAGAAAAUGACUGUACCCGAAUAAGAAGGUCCGGCUAACUUCGUGCCAGCAGCCGCGGUAAUACGAAGGGACCUAGCGUAGUUCGGAAUUACUGGGCUUAAAGAGUUCGUAGGUGGUUAAAAAAGUUGGUGGUGAAAUCCCAGAGCUUAACUCUGGAACUGCCAUCAAAACUUUUUAGCUAGAGUAUGAUAGAGGAAAGCAGAAUUUCUAGUGUAGAGGUGAAAUUCGUAGAUAUUAGAAAGAAUACCAAUUGCGAAGGCAGCUUUCUGGAUCAUUACUGACGCUGAGGAACGAAAGCAUGGGUAGCGAAGAGGAUUAGAUACCCUCGUAGUCCAUGCCGUAAACGAUGUGUGUUAGACGUUGGAAAUUUAUUUUCAGUGUCGCAGCGAAAGCGAUAAACACACCGCCUGGGGAGUACGACCGCAAGGUUAAAACUCAAAUGAAUUGACGGGGACCCGCACAAGUAGUGGAGCAUGUGGUUUAAUUCGAAGAUACGCGCAGAACCUUACCAACACUUGACAUGUUCGUCGCGACUUUAAGAGAUUAAAGUUUUCGGUUCGGCCGGACGAAACACAGGUGCUGCAUGGCUGUCGUCAGCUCGUGUCGUGAGAUGUUGGGUUAAGUCCCGCAACGAGCGCAACCCUCACUUUUAGUUGCCAUCAUUAAGUUGGGCACUCUGAAAGAACUGCCAGUGAUAAGCUGGAGGAAGGUGGGGAUGACGUCAAGUCCUCAUGGCCCUUACGUGUUGGGCUACACACGUGCUACAAUGGUAUCUACAACAGGAAGCAAAACUGCGAAGUUAAGCAAAUCCUUAAAAGAUACCUCAGUUCGGAUUGCACUCUGCAACUCGAGUGCAUGAAGCUGGAAUUACUAGUAAUCGUGGAUCAGCGUGCCACGGUGAAUGCGUUCCCGGGUCUUGUACACACCGCCCGUCACACCAUGGGAGUUGGUUCUACCUUAAGGCAAGGUUUCAAACCCUUGACCACGGUAUAGUCAGCGACUGGGGUGAAGUCAUAACAAGGUAGCCGUA
rnacentral:rRNA from 1 species